CAUAUCGACCAAAUCUUUUAGCAAGUCAGAUUGAUUGUCAUUGGUAAUAUCGAUGUCAGGAGGGGCCCCCAUGUCAACAAGAUGAGGAUUAGAGGGGAGGUUCGGGUUCACCGGUGGGCAUAAGGCCUCUGCACAUGGAUCCAUCGCGGCUUCCACAACGUUCUUUCCAUUCAAAUGAGUUUUCGGACUUGAAGCAGACCACAAGGCAUGUUAGUACUGA